rfam:Camelus ferus unplaced genomic scaffold scaffold884, whole genome shotgun sequence.
GGGUAUAUAGCUCAGUGGUAGAGUGUGUACUUAGCACGCACAAGGUCCUAGGUUCAAUUCUCAGUACCUCCA